GAUGCACCACGAAUGAAGCUUAAACAGAUCGUCAUCGUGGUCCAGAUCAACCAGAGCCAUGAUAAUCAUCAAUCUUAUCCUGUUGAUACUCAUAUUUGAUACACACGGCCAGAUGUUUUGCAACUGGGGAAAGUAUGGAGAAGACUGCAGCAAAAACUGCCCUCAGACCUGUAUGCCAGACACCAACAGGAAUCUCAUACACUGCCAGAAGGAGACAGGGAGGUGUUCUGAGGGCUGUGUUCCUGGCUGGUUUGACGAUCUCUGUGACAAGGCUUGCAGCAAGAACUGCUUGAAAAAAAAUCUGUAAUCGUCAAAAUGGCAUCUGCACGCAUCGAUGUAGAGGGAACUACACAGGAGACUUUUGCAACACUCCUCCAGGCACAUCAGCGCCACCUCCCAGGGAAGUCACCACUCAUACGUCCACGACACAUGUACCUCCAUCAACCCCCACAGAAACCUCGAACCUGGCUGUCAUCCUUGUCCCUGUGUUCCUCGUCGUGACUGUAACCUUGGCUGUGUUCGUGUUCAU